rnacentral:misc_RNA from 1 species
CAAAUAGGUGCACUCCUAAGUUCUUAGAAUCCAAAAACAGAAUAUGUAAUUAUCAUGCCAUACUAAUUUAAUUCCAUUCCCACAUAAAGAAAUCAUCAGAGUUAACAAAAUUUGUGCAGACAACAAACAAAAAGAAACAUAGUUAGAUAACAUGUUUCGUUUUCUCAAAAACACAUAAAACACAAAUCAAAACAAACACAUCCAACACCGAGUUGCAUAUUAAAAUACAGAUGAAUAGGAGCAAAAGAAUUGAAAUCAAAAUCAAUUCUUUGAUGAAUCAAAAUCCAAGUCUCUGCUAACAAAGAAAACAGGGAAAAAACCCUAAAAUGUGACUACAAAGGAAAGCGAAAUAAAGGAAAGCGAAAUACCUACAGAAAGAGAGAGGGGGGAGG